UACAGAGGUCUCAAGCGUUGUUCGGAUUCAUUGGGCGUAAAGGGUGCGUAGGUGGCGCGCUAAGUCGGGUGUGAAAUUUCGGAGCUUAACUCCGAAACUGCAUUCGAUACUGGCGUGCUUGAGGACUGGAGAGGAGACUGGAAUUCAUGGUGUAGCAGUGAAAUGCGCAGAUAUCAGGAGGAACACCGGUGGCGAAGGCGGCGACCUGGACAAGUACUGACACUCAACUACGAAAGCGUGGGGAGCAAACAGG
rnacentral:rRNA from 1 species